AUGGACAGUCUGGUGAACACUCAUCACGUUGAUGUGAAUGCAACAGAUAAUUCAGGGUUAAUUCCAUUGCAUUUGGCAGUUUUCUAUGAUAAUACUGAUGCUCUACUUGAACUGAUGAGGCUGGGAGCAACCAUUGAGGGGAAUACUUGUUUUGGGAAGGCUAUCCACGGCGCUGCCUUUUUAGGAAGUCUUGGGGCUAUUAAAGCUAUUCACCAGGAUUUCCCCAAUGAGGUAAACAUUGCUAGUGCUGGAAAUUUCACGCCACUUAUUUGUUCCCUGUUCGGCACUUCAGUUGACUGUCAGAACUUUCUUGCAGGGGUAUCUGAUGUGGGUACUCUUCCCUUGUUCACCAAAGUGGCAUUGGUUAAAACCAAUGAGGCUGAAGCUCAUGCUCUUAUGAAAACGCUUUUAAACCAUGGAGCAGAUGUGAACAUAUUGGACCAGGAUUUUCUUGAAGAACCAGCAUUGGUCAUCGCCGCCAAAAACAAAUGGAAUCUGGUCAUCGACCUUUUAUUUGAUAGAACAGAACAGAUAGCUGGCAUAGAGGACUGGACCGUUGCAAAUUUACUCAGCCAUGUCCAGACAGAAGAUUUCUUGCAUGAGGACCGUUUGAGGAAAGCAAAUAAAGUCCAGCAGCUGCGCCCCAGAAUAAUUGUUGAACUGGAAGCUAGAAAUGUUGUUGUCGCGACCUAUCUUUGCAAGGCUUUAAAAUCUGAUAUGGAUGAAUGGGACUGGAGCAACAUCAGCAGUCUAUGCGACCUCUGUGUACAUUUUGGAAUAUCGUCAUCUGAAUAUGAAAUAACAGUGGAAUGUAUUUCUAUGUACAUGAGUGCUUAUUUCUCAAAAGAGCAAUAUGAUAAGGCUCUUUUAGCUAUAAAGGCUUGUCUUGCUCUGGAACCGGACAACCAGGAAUUCAUCAGACUCCACACAAUGGUGAAAAGGUUAUCUGAAGAGAAUACAGCGAGUACAAGUGGGCCUUCGCAGUAA
rnacentral:rRNA from 1 species